rnacentral:lncRNA from 1 species
UGUGACUAUUUUGCAUUUAUUCUUGUUUGUGAGGACUAUUGCUAUUGAAUAUCGGACUCAAGUGGGUGUACCGUGCUAAUAGCGAUGCCUAGGCCCAAGUACGCUCAAAUCCAUAUCUCCACGCCUUUGAAUGUUGUGAACGUACUGUGCUUUAAAUUUGUGGUAUAUUCUUGGCCUUAAUUAACUUGAACUUGAAGUUCCCCGGGUUCAAUUUCAAGCUCAAGUUAAUUAGGUAUUAUUAGACAAGGCCUUAUGUUGUACUUCGUCUUUUUAAAAUUAUGCUGAUUUGAGUUUUUGUGUAAUAUGUAGUGACUGUUUUGCAUUUGUUCUGUUUUGCGAGGACUAUUGCUAUUGACUACCAGAUUCAACUUCAAGCUCGAGUUAUUUAGGUACUUUUUGUUAGUACUUUAUGUUGUUUUUUAUUUAUAGCAUGAUUUUAAUGUUUGAGUAACGAGUAGUGACUGCUUUGCAUUUUUUUUGUUUUGCGAGGAGUAAUACUGUUGACUCAUCAGGUUUAUUUCAAUCUCCAAGUUAUUAGAGUAUUAGUAGUUUAUGGUCGUAUGUUGUACUUUGUCUUUUUUAAUUACGCUAAUGUUGAAUUUUGAGUAAUGAGUUUGACUAUUUUGCAAUUUAGUUGUUUUGGUGAGGACCUAUUGCUAUUGAAUAUCGACUCAAGUGGGUGUACCGUUCUAAUAGCGAUGCCUAGGCCCAAGUACGCUCAAAUACAUAUUCUCACGACUUGAAUGUUGUGGUACGUAACUGUGGCUUUAAAUUUUGUAUAUUUAUCUUGGGCCUUAAUUAACUUGAACUUGAAGUUCCCCGGGUUCAAUUUCAAGCUCAAGUUAAUUAGGUAUUGUUAGACAAGGCCUUAUGUUGUAAUUUGUCUUUUUAAAAUUAUGCUGAUUUGAGUUUUUGUGUAAUAUGUAGUGACUGUUUUGCAUUUGUUCUGUUUUGUGAGGACUAUUGCUAUUGACUACCAGAUUCAACUUCAAGCUCGAGUUAUUUAGGUACUUUUUGUUUGUACUUUAUGUUUUUUAUUUAUAGCAUAUUUUAAUGUUUGAGUAACGUGGUAGUGACUGCUUUGAAUUUUUUGUUUUGCGGAGGACUAAUAUGUUGACUAUCGGGUUUAAUUUCAAUUCUCAAAGUUAUUAGGGUAAUUAGUUAGUUAUGGCCGUAUGUUGUACUUUGUUUUUUCACAUUAUUGCUAAUUGAAUUUUUGGAGUAAUGAGUUGUGACUUAUUUUGGCAUUUAUUUUGUUGUAGUACGGACUAUUGAUAUGACUAUCGUGACUCAAGUGGUGUGUUACCGUGCUAAUAGCGAUGCCUAGGGGCCAAGUACUCUCAAACAUUAUAUCCUCGGCCUUUGGAAUGUUGUGGUUCUUAAGUAACCUGAACUUGAAGUUCCCCGGGUUCAAUUUCCAGCUCAAAGUUAUUAGUUAUUAUUAGGGCAAGGCCUUAUGUUGUACUUUGUCUUUUUAAAAUUAUGCUGAUGUGAGUUUUUGUGUAAUAUGUAGCGAUGUUUUGAUUUGUUCGUUUGCGAGGGACUAUUGCUAUUGACUACGGAUCAACUUCAACGGCUCGAGUUUUUAGGUACUUUUUGUUAGACUUUAUGUGUUUGAUUUAUAGCAUCAUGAUUUUAAGUUUGAGUAACGAGUGAGUGGAAUGCUUUGCAUUUUUUUGUUUUGCGCAGGGAGUAAUUAAUGUUGACUAUCAGGUUUAAUUUCAAGCUCAAGUUAUUAGGGUAUUAGUAGGUUAUGGGACCGUAUUUGUACUUUGUCUUUUUCAAAUUAUGCUAAUUUGAAUUUUUGAGUAAUGAGUUGUGACUAUUUGCAUGUAAUUUGUUUAAGUGAGGACUAUUGCUAAUUGGACUAUUGGACUCAAGUUGGUUGUACCGUUGCUAAUAGGGAUGCCUAGGCCAAAAGUACUAUCAAUCAUAUCUCCGCGCCUUGGAAAUGGUGUGGUACGAACUGGUGGCUUUAAAUUUGGUAUAUUUUUUCUUGGGCCUUAAUUAACCUGAACUUGAAGUUCCCCGGGUUCAUUCAAGCUCAAGUAAUAGGUAUUAUUAGAUAAGGCCUUCUUAUGAGAUUUGUCUUUUUAAAAUUAUGUUGAUUUGAGUUUUUGUGUAAUAUGUAGUGACUGUUUUGCAUUUGUUCUGUUUUACGAGGACUAUUGCUAUUGAUUAUCGAACUCAACUUCAAUCUCGAGUUAUUUAGGUACUUUUUGUUAGUACUUUAUUUAUUUCAAAUUAUUUUUUUUGUUUUGCGAGGACUAAUACUGUUGACUAUCGGGUUUAAUUUUAAGCUCAAGUUAUUAGGGUAUUAGUAGUUAUGGCCGUAUGUUGUACUUUGUCUUUUCAAAAUUAUGCUAAUUUGAAUUUUGGAGUAAUGGAGUUGUGACCUAGUUGCAUUUAUUUUGUUUAGUGAGGACUAUUGCUAUGAACUAUCGUAACUCAAGUGGGCUUGAUACCGUGCUAUAACGAUAGCCUAGGCCCAAGGACUCUCAAUCCAUAUCUCCACGCCUUGAAUGUUGUGGUACGGAACGUGGCUUGAAAAUUUUUGUAUAUUUAUCUUGCGCCUUAAUUAAACUGGAACUUGAAGUUCACCGGGGUUCAAUUCAAGCUCAGUUAAUUAGGUAUUAUAGACCAAGGCCUUAUGUUGUAACUUUGUCUUUUUAAAUUAUUAUGUGAUGAGUUUUGUGUAAUAUGUAGUGGACUGUUUUGCCUUUGGUUUGUUUUCGGAGGACUAUGGCUAUUGACUACCGGGUUCACUUCAAUCUCGAGGUUAUUUAGGUACUUUUUGGUUAGUAUUUUAUGUGGUUUUUUAUUUAUAGCAUUGAUUUCUACUGUUUGAGUAACGAGUAAGUGACUCUUUGGGUGCAUUUUUUUGUUUUGCGAGGAGUAAUUAUGUGGACUAUCGGGUUAAUUUUCAAUCUCAAGUUAUUAGUGUAUUAGUAGUAUGCCCGUAGUAUGUUGUACUGUCUUUUCAAAUUAUUGCUAAUUUGAAUUUUUGGUAAUGAGUGUGACUAUUUUGCAUUAUUUUGUAUAGUGAGGACUAUUGCUAUUGACUAUCGGGACUCAAAGGGUUGUACGCGUUGAUAAUAGCGAUGCUAGGCCCAAAGUAGCCUCAAUUCCAUAUCUCCACGCCUUUGAAUGUUGUGUACGUAACUGUGCCUUUAAUUUGCUAAUUUGUCUUGGGCCUUAAUUAACCUUGAACUGAAGUUCCCCGGGUUCAAUUUCAAGCUUCACAGUUAAUAGGUAUAUGAAGACAAAAGGCCUUUUGUUGUACUUUGGGUUUUUUAAAAUUAUGCUGAUUUGAGUUUUUGUGUAAUAUGUAGGGGACUGUUUGGCAUUUGUUCUGUUUUGCGAGGAAUAUGCUAUUGACUACCGGAUGGAAUUCAACUUCUAAGCUCGAGUUAUUAGGUACCUUUUUGUUAGUACUUAUGUUGUUUUUUUUAUUUAUAGCAUGAUUUAAUGUUUGGAGUAAACGAGUAGUGAUGCUUUGCAUUUUUUUUGUUUUGCAGAGGAGUAAUAAGUUGACUAUCGGUUAAUUUCAAUCUCAAGUUAUUAGUGUAUAGUAGUUAUGGCCGUUUGUUGUACUUUGUCUUUUUCAAAUUAUGCUAAUUUGAAUUUUUGGGUGGUAAUGAGUUGUGGAACUAUUUUGCAUUAUUUUGGUUGUUCCCUUGGGAACUAUUGCUAUGAAUAUGGGACUCGCAAGUGGGGUACCGUGCUAAUAGCGAUCCCUAGGCCCAAGUACGCUCAAAUCCAUAUCUCCACGCCUUUUUGAAUGUUGUGGACUUAAAUGUGCUGUUAAAUUUUGUAUAUUUAUCUUGGGCCUUUAAUAACUUCUAAUUGAAGUGCCCCGGGGUUCAAUUUCAAGCGAUAGUUAAUUAGGUAAUUGUUCGACAGCCUACUAAUGUGUAAUUUCUCUGUUUAAAAUUUAUGCUGUGAUAAUUGUGAUUUGAUUGAAUUUUUGUGUAAUAUGUAGUGACUGUGGUUUGCAUUUGUUGUUCUGUGAGGGACUAUUGUAUUGACUUACCAGCUUCAACUUCAGCUCGAGUUAUUUAGGUACUUGUGUUAGUUACUUUAUGUUGUUUUGUAGUUUAUAGAAUGUUUAAUGUUGCGUAACGAGUCGGAUGAUUUGCGUUUUUUUUUUUUGUUGCGAGGACUAAUACUGUUGACUAUCGGGUUAAUUUCAAGCUCAAGGUAAUUAGGGUAUAGUAGUUAUGGCGUAUGUUGUACUUUGUCUUUUUCAAAUUAUGCUAAUUUGAAUUGUUGAGUUAAUGGAGUUGUGACUUAUUUUGCAUUUAUUUUGUUUAGUGAGGACUAUGCUAUUGGAAUAUUGUGACUCAAGGCGGUUUGGUACCGUGACUAAUAGCCGAUGCCUAGGCCAAGUAGUAACUCUCAAAUCCAUAUUCGCGCCUUUGAACUGUGCGUGGUACGUAAUUGUGGUUUUAAAUUUGAAUUUAUCUGGGCUUUAUAAACCUGAAAUUGAAGGUCCCCGGGGUUUAAUUUCAAGCUCAAGUUAAUUAGGUAUUAUUAGACAAGGACCCUUAUGUUGUACUUUGUCGUUUUUAAAAUUAUGUGAUUGAGUUUUUGUGUAUAUGUAGUGACUGUUUUGCAUUUGUCUGUUUUGCGAGGAUAUUGCUAUUGGACUACGGAUUCAUUCAACUUCAAGCUAGAGUUAUUUAGGGACUUUUGUUAGUACUUUAGGUGUUAUUUAGUUUUAUAGCAUGAUUUAACGUUUGAGUACGAGUACUGAUGCUUUCACUUUUUUGUUUUGCGAGGACUAAUACUGUUGACUAUCGGGUUUAAUUUCAAGCUCAAGUUAUUAGGGUAUUAGUAGUUAUGGCCGUAUGUUGUACUUUGUCUUUUUCAAAUUAUGCUAAUUUGAAUUUUUGAGUAAUGAGUUGUGACUAUUUUGCAUUUAUUUUGUUUAGUGAGGACUAUUGCUAUUGACUAUUGGACUCAAGUGGGUGUACCGUGCUAAUAGCGAUGCCUAGGCCCAAGUACUCUCAAAUCCAUAUCUCCGCGCCUUUGAAUGUUGUGGUACGUAAUUGUGGUUUUAAAUUUUGAAUAUUUAUCUUGGGCCUUAAUUAACCUGAAAUUGAAGGUCCCCGGGUUUAAUUUCAAGCUCAAGUUAAUUAGGUAUUAUUAGACAAGGCCUUAUGUUGUACUUUGUCUUUUUAAAAUUAUGCUGAUUUGAGUUUUUGUGUAAUAUGUAGUGACUGUUUUGCAUUUGUUCUGUUUUGCGAGGACUAUUGCUAUUGACUACCGGAUUCAACUUCAAGCUCGAGUUAUUUAGGUACUUUUUGUUAGUACUUUAUGUUGUUUUUUAUUUAUAGCAUGAUUUUAAUGUUUGAGUAACGAGUACUGACUGCUUUGCAUUUUUUUUGUUUUGCGAGGAGUAAUACUGUUGACUAUCGGGUUUAAUUUCAAGCUCAAGUUAUUAGGGUAUUAGUAGUUAUGGCCGUAUGUUGUACUUUGUCGUUUUCAAAUUAUGCUAAUUUGAAUUUAUUUUGUUUUGUGAGGACUAUUGCUAUUGAUUACCGGAUUCAACUUCAAGCUCGAGUUAUUUAGGUACUUUUUGUUAGUACUUUAUGUUGUUUUUUAUUUAUAGCAUGAUUUUAAUGUUUGAGUAACGAGUAGUGACUGCUUUGCAUUUUUUUUGUUUUGCGA